UACGUAGGUGGCAAGCGUUGUCCGGAUUUAUUGGGUUUAAAGGGUGCGUAGGCGGCCCCAUAAGUCAGUGCUGAAAUACUCUAGCUCAACUAGAGGGGUGGCAUUGAUACUGCGGGGCUUGAGUGGAGUCGAGGUAGGCGGAAUUGACGGUGUAGCGGUGAAAUGCUUAGAUAUCGUCAAGAACACCGAUAGUGUAGACAGCUUACUAGGCUUCAACUAACGCUGAGGCACGAAAGUGUGGGGAUCAAACAGG
rnacentral:rRNA from 1 species